CCCUUAGAUGUUCUGGGCUGCACGCGCGCUACACUGAAGCUAUCAACACGUUUUCCCUCCCUGAGAAGGGCGGGUAACCUUUUGAAUCAGCUUCGUGGUAGGGAUCGGGGCUUGCAAUUGUUCCCCGUGAACCAGGAAUUCCUAGUAGACGCGAGUCAUAAGCUCGCAUCGAUUAAGUCCCUGCCCUUUGUACACACCGCCCGUCGCUACUACCGAUUGAACGUUUUAGUGAGGCAUUUGGACCGACGCAUCUCAGUUUAACCGAUGGUUUGUGUUGGAAAGACUUCCAAACUUGAGCGUUUAGAGGAAGUAAAAGUCGUAACA
rnacentral:rRNA from 1 species